rnacentral:lncRNA from 1 species
GGGGACUCUACUCUGCCCACUAUAGUCGAUAUGACCCACUGCAGCCAACUUGGUCCAUGGAAGCUGUCACGGGGCAAUUUUCAGCUUCCAAAAUUGCUUCCGUGAUGGCGCUAACUCCCUUAGCCAGCCAACACCCCAAGGUAUGAGACACAAGUGUUUACAGGGAAAAACCCCCAACCUUUUCUUACUUUUCUUCUCAAAAGUACAAAGGACACACCUGCCUCAUGCAAGAGGUCUCU